rnacentral:rRNA from 1 species
UACAGAGGUCUCAAGCGUUGUUCGGAUUCAUUGGGCGUAAAGGGUGUGUAGGUGGCGCCGUAAGUCGGGUGUGAAAUCUCGGGGCUUAACUCCGAAACUGCAUUCGAUACUGGCGUGCUUGGAGGACUGGAGAGGAGACUGGAAUUCAUGGUGUAGCAGUGAAAUGCGUAGAGAUCAUGAGGAAGACCAGUGGCGAAGGCGGGUCUCUGGACAGUUCCUGACACUGAGACACGAAGGCCAGGGGAGCAAACGGG